GCCGCCAUCGUCUAGUCUGGUUAGGACGACGGGCCUUCAAUCCGUUAACACCGGUUCGAAUCCGGUUGGCGGCACCA
rnacentral:tRNA from 1 species